rnacentral:rRNA from 1 species
GGUGCCAGCCGCCGCGGUAACACCGGCGGCCCGAGUGGUGANCGNGAUUAUUGGGUCUAAAGGGUCCGUAGCCGGUUUGGUCAGUCCUCCGGGAAAUCUGAUGGCUCAACCAUUAGGCUUUCGGGGGAUACUGCCAGGCUUGGAACCGGGAGAGGUAAGAGGUACUACAGGGGUAGGAGUGAAAUCUUGUAAUCCCUGUGAGACCACCUGUGGCGAAGGCGUCUUACCAGAACGGGUUCGACGGUGAGGGACGAAAGCUGGGGGCACKAACCGGAUUAGAUACCCGGGUAGUCCCAGCCGUAAACGAUGCUCGCUAGGUGUCAGGCAUGGCGCGACCGUGUCUGGUGCCGCAKGGWAGCCGUGAAGCGAGCCACCUGGGAAGUACGGCCGCA